AUUGAACGCUGGCGGCAGGCCUAACACAUGCAAGUCGAGCGGAUGAAGGGAGCUUGCUCCUGGAUUCAGCGGCGGACGGGUGAGUAAUGCCUAGGAAUCUGCCUGGUAGUGGGGGAUAACGUCCGGAAACGGGCGCUAAUACCGCAUACGUCCUGAGGGAGAAAGUGGGGGAUCUUCGGACCUCACGCUAUCAGAUGAGCCUAGGUCGGAUUAGCUAGUUGGUGGGGUAAAGGCCUACCAAGGCGACGAUCCGUAACUGGUCUGAGAGGAUGACCGGCCACAGCGGGACUGCGAUACUGCCCUGUGUCCGACGUGAGGCAGGGGUGGGUACUAUUGCAGAAUGGGAGGGAGUCUGACGCAGCAACGCCUUGUGCGGUAUGACGUCCUUCGGGUUGUAAACCGCUUUCGCCUGUGACGAAGCGUGAGUGACGGUCAUGGGUAAAGAAGCACCGGCUAACUCCGUG
rnacentral:rRNA from 1 species